AUUUGGGCUCAGGGUCUUCAGUAAACCUGUAGACACUGAUGUUAGCUUUAAUUCGAUAUAUCGUUUAGGUUAUUCGGAUAAGUAAGGUGAUCGUAACGAUUGUUCGAAUAAGCUGUGACAGCAAGACAUUCGUAACAAAUGUUUCAAGAAAUUGACUAUGUGAUAUAGUGGAAUAAUACGAUUAUAUUAGCAUUUGGAAUCUUGUUAAGUGAUGAAUAUGUUUAUAGGUGUCGAGCGCACUAAAGCUCUCAUUCAAGACUUGAGCAUGACUCGAGAAUAAGGUGUUCUUAUAGCACUUGCAUUGGACUUCAGGUGAGGAUCCCUAUCCCUUGCCUAUUCCUUCUGGAAAAAUAGGAUAUAUGCCGAGCACUCGUAUCGUUCGGUUUAUUAUUGUUAUUACUCGUCGUUUAUCAAUAUAUAUUUAUUGUCACCUAUCUCGUGAACUAAUUUGAUUUCCGAGAAUUAUUAAUUCUUGAGCUAUUGAAAUCUUUGAUCGAUUCGAAAUCCUCUUCAUGGAACUUAAUAAGUUCUCAUCUUGAUUCGGGAAUUAUUCGAGUAAUUUCUCAUCCCGAUUCCUUGAUUUCUCAAUUGAGUUCUUUUAUCGACUUGAAUAAUUCAACGAG
rnacentral:lncRNA from 1 species